UACGUAGGGGGCGAGCGUUAUCCGGAUUCACUGGGUGUAAAGGGAGCGUAGACGGCCAUGCAAGCCAGGGGUGAAAGCCCGGGGCCCAACCCCGGGACUGCCCUUGGAACUGCAUGGCUGGAGUGCGGGAGGGGCAGGCGGAAUUCCUGGUGUAGCGGUGAAAUGCGUAGAUAUCAGGAGGAACACCGGCGGCGAAGGCGGCCUGCUGGACCGCGACUGACGUUGAGGCUCGAAAACGUGGGGAGCGAACAGG
rnacentral:rRNA from 1 species